rnacentral:sRNA from 1 species
AGAACUAAGAUCCCUAGGCAGCUAUAACCUAAUGUCCUCUGUGUGCUAUAUUAAACCCCUGGUUUUGACCACUCCAGAACGAGGGUUGAAAAAUGUUGGACCUGUUAACGAGCUACCCUGUAUCCUCCUCUGGCUGUGUCUCCACUUGUUAACCCACGGUGUGGUCCUCCUAUCAGAGUUCUUCAUCCCAUCCUCGGCGGAGUUCUGGCGACAGCUCCUACCUCUUUUCCUCAUGCCUUUCCUCUGUCAGUACUAACUGCAAAGUCAGUGGUCCCGUGAUGUAGCCAUCAGAUUGAAGCGGCCAGCUAUCAUUAAAGUCCCACAACGAAGACCUCCGUGUGGAUGGCCGUGGCUGUGAGGACUACCGAUGUGUUGAAGUGGAAACCGAUGUGGUGUCCAACACCAGUGGGUCUGCCAGGGUCAAGCUGG